AUCACUUCUCAACCUUCUGGCUAAGAUCAGGGGUACUAUCUCUUGUUGUCAGUUUUAAUAUCUGGGAUGUCCUCAGUGAGAGAACUUUAUAUUCAAUGGAUUGCUUGGUCUGGGAAGUGAACCCAGAGCUUGCUCCCUUCACUCCAUACAUUGACCUAGUACUGCAGUGACCUCUGGGGUUGUUCAGCCUGA
rfam:Picoides pubescens contig43213, whole genome shotgun sequence.